UACAGGGGGUGCAAGCGUUGUUCGGAAUUACUGGGCGUAAAGGGCGCGUAGGCGGUUCUGAAAGUCAGCUGUGAAAGCCCCGGGCUUAACCUGGGAACUGCGGUUGAAACUACAGGACUAGAAUCUGGCAGAGGGGGGUGGAAUUCCACGUGUAGCAGUGAAAUGCGUAGAGAUGUGGAGGAACACCGAUGGCGAAGGCAGCCCCCUGGGCUGAGAUUGACGCUCAGGCACGAAAGCGUGGGGAGCAAACAGG
rnacentral:rRNA from 1 species